rnacentral:rRNA from 1 species
UACGUAGGGGGCAAGUGUUAUCCGGAUUUACUGGGUGUAAAGGGAGCGUAGACGGCUAAUCAAGUCAGAAGUGAAAACCCAGGGCUCAACCUUGGGACUGCUUUUGAAACUGAGUAGCUAGAGUGCAGGAGAGGUAAGCGGAAUUCCUAGUGUAGCGGUGAAAUGCGUAGAUAUUAGGAGGAACACCAGUGGCGAAGGCGGCUUACUGGACGGCAACUGACGCUGAGGCUCGAAAGCGUGGGGAGCAAACAGG